rnacentral:rRNA from 1 species
AACGAACGCUGGCGGCAGGCUUAACACAUGCAAGUCGAGCGCCCCGCAAGGGGGGCGGCAGACGGGUGAGUAACGCGUGGGAACGUACCCUUUACUACGGAAUAACGCAUGGAAACGUGUGCUAAUACCGUAUGUGCCCUUUGGGGGAAAGAUUUAUCGGUAAAGGAUCGGCCCGCGUUGGAUUAGCUAGUUGGGGGGGUAAAGGCCUACCAAGGCGACGAUCCAUAGCUGGUCUGAGAGGAUGAUCAGCCACAUUGGGACUGAGACACGGCCCAAACUCCUACGGGAGGCAGCAGUGGGGAAUAUUGGACAAUGGGCGCAAGCCUGAUCCAGCCAUGCCGCGUGAGUGAUGAAGGCCCUAGGGUUGUAAAGCUCUUUCACCGGUGAAGAUAAUGACGGUAACCGGAGAAGAAGCCCCGGCUAACUUCGUGCCAGCCGCCGCGGUAACAC